rnacentral:rRNA from 1 species
UACGUAGGUGGCAAGCGUUGUUCGGAAUUACUGGGCGUAAAGGGCGCGUAGGCGGUCAGCACAAGUCAGUUGUGAAAUCUCCGGGCUUAACCCGGAAAGGUCAACUGAUACUGUGCGACUAGAGUGCGGAAGGGGCAACUGGAAUUCUCGGUGUAGCGGUGAAAUGCGUAGAUAUCGAGAGGAACACCUGCGGCGAAGGCGGGUUGCUGGGCCGACACUGACGCUGAUGCGCGAAAGCCAGGGGAGCGAACGGG